UGACCCAGAUGCAGUCACUCUUGUUUUCGGAGGUGUGGUGCGGUGACGACUACAGGUUGACGCGCUCAGUGCAGGAUGAAGCUGUUGCAUCUGGCGGUGGUGGCGUGCGCGCUGGGCUGGGCGGCGUCUCAGGACGCCUACACCCAGGGCGUGGUGAACGGAGCGACGCUGGCGUUGGCCGGCACCGCUGUGGUCGGCCUUGGCGCGCUGGCCAUCAAACAGCAUCAGAGUCGGAGGAGGAACAGGUACCGGUACGCUCCGUACUACGGAGGAUAUUACAAUGGCGGAUACGGUGGGAUACAACGGAUACUCCCCUGGCUAUUACCAGCCCCAGUACUACCGCCGCCGCCGCUCAACUACUGGCACUGGCGAGGUGGAGCAGGACUUCGAGAAGAUUAUGGGUCAGGACAAGGACCAGUGCGGCAUGCGCGUAGUCUGUGAGCUGGAGGCCCAGGCGGCCCUGGGGGAUGACGUCGACGACUUCGGCAAGCUGAUCA